GCCCAGCUUGCUGGGUGGAUUAGUGGCGAACGGGUGAGUAACACGUGAGUAACCUGCCCUUGACUCUGGGAUAAGCCUGGGAAACUGGGUCUAAUACCGGAUAUGACCUUCCAUCGCAUGGUGGUUGGUGGAAAGCUUUUGUGGUUUUGGAUGGACUCGCGGCCUAUCAGCUUGUUGGUGAGGUAAUGGCUUACCAAGGCGACGACGGGUAGCCGGCCUGAGAGGGUGACCGGCCACACUGGGACUGAGACACGGCCCAGACUCCUACGGGAGGCAGCAGUGGGGAAUAUUGCACAAUGGGCGCAAGCCUGAUGCAGCGACGCCGCGUGAGGGAUGACGGCCUUCGGGUUGUAAACCUCUUUCAGUAGGGAAGAAGCGUAAGUGACGGUACCUGCAGAAGAAGCGCCGGCUAACUACGUGCCAGCAGCCGCGGUAAUACGUAGGGCGCAAGCGUUAUCCGGAAUUAUUGGGCGUAAAGAGCUCGUAGGCGGUUUGUCGCGUCUGCCGUGAAAGUCCGGGGCUCAACUCCGGAUCUGCGGUGGGUACGGGCAGACUAGAGUGAUGUAGGGGAGACUGGAAUUCCUGGUGUAGCGGUGAAAUGCGCAGAUAUCAGGAGGAACACCGAUGGCGAAGGCAGGUCUCUGGGCAUUAACUGACGCUGAGGAGCGAAAGCAUGGGGAGCGAACAGGAUUAGAUACCCUGGUAGUCCAUGCCGUAAACGUUGGGCACUAGGUGUGGGGGACAUUC
rnacentral:rRNA from 1 species